AGAUACCUUGACGGGGCACAAGGUAGUAAGAUGUUUCUCCAGCUGUAAAAUGGAAUUGAAUAUGGUAUAUGACAUAUUUACCUCACCUAGAAGUACUCAAAACAAUGUCUAGGACAUGGUAAUGGCUGUGAAGUGAUCGUUGCUUCUGGAAGGACCUUGGAGGACUCAAGAAGGUAGUGAUGGGCUCACAUUUGAGGCAUGGGUUGGAGAGCUCUGAAAACUGGAGUAAAAAGAUGACAGAAAGCAGAGUCAUCAGUAGAGAGCACUGAGGUACAAUCAGAGGAGUUGGCAGAUGUGAAAUACUCCAAGAAGGAGCCAGUUAGAGCAACUUGGCUCUGACAGAACUGUGGGAACUGAGAGCAAGUCCUGCAUGGUGCCUGACUCACAUCAUAUGUACUCAGGAAAAUGGUGAAACGGCCCUGGAUCAGGACCCAAGAGCACCGAAUUCUAUAGGACACUUCUGUGGACAAAAGAUCUCCUCAAACCCUACAAAACCAUCAUAAAAUGUGUCUGCACCAGCACCCACAGGAGCUUCUCACAGAACACAGCGACUUUCCGGAUAGUCUUAUCUUUACUGUUCUAUUUCUGGGAACCUGGGACUCUUACCUUGUUUGAACUCCAGGGUGGAUGAGAACUCAUGGAUAAGACAGAGCCAUGAGUGGGUGGGACAAGGACUGCUGCUCGGAAGAGAGGCACAGGUACUCAGAAGACUAAGGGCUCCAUAGGCAGUCCUGUCUCUAUCUGCAGAUGAGACUCCAGAUGACAGGUUAGCCUCCACUGUUGCUUCCUCCCCUGCUGAGGCCUAUCUCAGCACUAGGGUCUUGACUGACAUUCCAAAUCCCACUCUGAACAGUUCAAGGGGUGCUCCCUGCUUAGCUGCUGAGGCAAGAAAAGCAAACACCAGGUCUCAGCUCAAUGGAUUGCCUGCUACUGUUGAGAAAGUUCCAGGCUGUGACUGAGCCCACCCAAGUGAAGAAACUUACUUCAAAAGCAGCCAGACCCAGGCCUAGCAACAAGCCAGUGUUUGCUAGAUUGAACUUGAGGUGACACACACCAAAUCCAUUUCCAGUUUGUGCUCAGGGGCAAGUCCUUGACUACACAAAGGGUGAAACACUUGAGGAAUUUGUGGACUGUCCAGUUAAUCAGAUAAAAUCUGAGAGAAUCAGAAAGGAGGUUUCUUGGAGGAGUUCAAAGUUUUACUACAAACAGCUGAAGCGCCCGCAGCUAAUCUGAGCUCUCCCUUCCACUCCCGGUUGAAGUUGCCUUCAGUAAACACCAGCGAUUUCUCUCUCUUGUCUCUAAAACACAAAGAGAGUCUUCAUUCUAGAGGGGGAAAAUUAGGCCUGACUCUAGCAUGAAAGAACUGGAUUUCAACAGGGAAGGAAUUGAUCUGUUUUCCCUUCUGCAUCUCAAUACGAUGUAGCCAAACCAACACUGACCAACAAAACUUAAUUACAAAGUAGAUUCAAACUGAGGCCCAGCUGACACUUACUGACCUCCACGAUGC
rnacentral:lncRNA from 1 species